rnacentral:pre_miRNA from 1 species
CAAAUAGUCCCUCCGUCCGGAAAUACUUGUCAUCAAAAUGGAUAAAAGGAAAUGUAUCUAGACGUAUUUUAGUUUUAGAUACAUCUCUUUUAUCCAUUUUGAUAACAAGUAUUUUCGGACGGAGGGAGUAGAAA